GUAAAGCUGUAAUAUUUUUUCCAGAUAAAAGCUUAAGCUAUUAUGGAAUGACUCAACUAUAUUUAACCUUACAAUAUCAUGCCAUUUUUGUUUCAGGUAUGUCAAUGUUCCUCAAGAAAUCAACAGGCUGAGGUGCGCGGUGAACUAUCACGCUCUUAAGUUUCUUCCUGAAAUAGAGCAGAUGGCUGAUUUAUUGGCAUCAAGGAUGAGAAACUGCACUGGAAUUUCCAAUCCUUAUAUGGCCCUGCAUCUCAGGUUUGAGAAGGGGAUGGUAGGUCUAUCCUUCUGUAAUUUUGUGGGGAUGCUAAGGUAUUCAAAUUUUGGUUUGUAUAGUACUUGGAAGUGAAAACACAAACUUAGUUUGAGGUGAAUGUCUUACCGGAAAAAAAAGUAUAUAUAUCGUUCUGCAAUUAUAUGACAACAGUUUAGUGGCACCAGCAUCACCCUUUUGCAUUCCAGGCCUUUUUAGAAAUGUGACUCUUUACGUUGGAGAUGCUAUAGGAAUUGUACUUCAUAGACUUCUCAGUAUCAUAAGGACCAUAGGUUUGAGUCGAUUAUUUUAUUGGAUAUUAAAACAUAUAUGUAGUUCCUUGAUCAUUAAGUAGAGUUUGACUGCACCAUCACUGCCCUUUUGGCUAUCAAGCUUAUUUAGAACUGUCUUUUGGUAUACAUUUGUUAUCUGGGAGAGGCUAUAGGAAUUGAACACAUAGAUUUGUUGGUAUCAUAAGCACCUUUAGAUUGACUAACAGUAUAUUUCAAAUGGUGGUCUUUUCCAAUAAUUCAAGUCAGGUUAAAGAGAUACUUGGAGAUGAGGGGUGCUGAUGGAGGACCGGCCUUGGAGAAGCUUAUCUGCUUUGCUUGCAUUUUGGGCAUUGGAUUGUAGACGACUACGUAUUUUAGUCAUUGCCCUCCUCAGUUUAUAUUCUCGGCGCGCAGAGAAAGGAAAUAUCGGAAUCGCAGAUAGGGCUUUGCAGCUCAUUUCCAUUGCUAGGCCCAACAAGCGCACCAAAGUCCCCUGAUACUAAGGUCUUCUUUAGCUUAAUCAAGGCUUCUAAUUCAUUGAUAACACUAAAUCCCACAGCAAAGCGCGGGCAUAUGUUCUAGUCAUAUAUAGAGAUUACAUAGAUAUGAGUAUAGCUGUGGGUACUCCAAAGGGCCUUGUUGUGCCAGUUAUCCGCAAUGUUGAUAAGAUGAAUUGUGGUGAGAUAGAGAAGGAGAUCAAUUUGCUUGCAAAGAAGGCAAAUGAAGGGCGUCUUUCAAUUUAUGAUAUGGCUGGAGGUUCAUUUACAAUAUCCAAUGGUGGAUUUUAUGGAAGCCUUAUAAGUACCCCUAUCAUGAACCAUCCUCAGGUCUGAUUCUUUAUUUGACCCAAUUGACUGGACUUUGAUCGUCUUACUGCAACAAAUGGAACUCACAUAUCAGUUCUAUGUUUAACUAUGUACCUAGUGAAGCUUCUUUAAUUUGUAGCAAAAGUACAUUUUCCAUUAUAUGACAGCUAAGUACCUUUA